rnacentral:lncRNA from 1 species
CUGACAAGGGACAUACCUGAUUCGUUCCACGUUUGUUCUUGGUUAUACCCAAUACUGAUGCUGUUGGUUAUUGUUUUUUAUUUCUGUUUUUAUUCUCCCUUUUCUUUCCACCAAUACUGCUACUUAAUAUCAUGCUCUUCCCAAACCCGCACAAUACUGGCUCCGUAAGCCUUCAUAAUAAUCAUACGUAUUGAGCCAUUUUUACCCCCCCCCCUCCUAACAACCAGAGUGCGUUACACAGCUCGGAACAUACAGCACACUACCUGCUGCACUCUCAGCUAGCGACUUAG